rnacentral:lncRNA from 10 species
CAGCUGGAUGUCUGGAUGAACUCCUGAAAGCUGCUGAGUGUCCUGCAGCAGGCCAUUUCCAAUCCAGAGGAAGACCUUCUAGAAGAAGUGAUGGGUGGGAGAGUGCUGACAUACUAUGCAAAGCUACUAUUUGGAGUUGGACACGAGUGCAUGUGACCUUGUGCCACAGCGGGAAUGUGAGCUGGAUGACAAAUGGAGAUUUGGACUUGUGAUAAUUGGCCUCUGUGUCAUUGUGUGGAAGACUGACUGGUCCCUUUAUUUCCUGUAGCUUGACUACCACACAAAUUAAUCCACUCAAAUGUUGGCAAGUGGAGCAGAGUCCCAGGACAGAGUCUCACUCUGUCACCCAGGCUAGAGUGCAAUGGCAUGAUCUCGGCUCACUACCACCUCCGCCUCCAGGGUUCAAGCGAUUGUCCUGCCUCAGCCUCCCAAGUAGCUGGAACUACAGAUAUAAUACGUAAGUUUGGAGGUGGAUGCUUUCAGCCAUUAAGUUCAAAAGUACUGCCACAAGGGCCAGGCAUGGUGGCUCACACCUGUAAUCCCAACCCUUUGGGAGGUCAAAGCAAGCAGAUCACGAGAUCAGGAAACUGAGACCAUCCUAGCCAACAUGGUGAAAUCCCAUCUGUACUAAAAGUACAAAAAUUAGCUGAGUGUGGUAGUAUGUGCCUGUAGUCCCAG